GGCACGGUGGCGCAGUGGUUAGCACUGUCGCCUCACAGCAAGAAGGUUGUGGGUUUGAUCCCUGCCCGGGGCC